CUGACCGCGGUCAGGCUUCGUAGCGUCGCCGCACGCGGGUCACCGUUUUGUGAGAGGGUGAUGGCCUACGCAAAGAUAUUCGCCGUGCGUCGUGAAAAUGGCUGCCAUCUGCGCGCUGCUCGCUGAUGAAGGCAUUGAUCUUCUUGAGCCAACGCGCUCAUUCCGUCCUCACAGAGACGCGUUUACUGAUUUAUCUGACGACGACUUUGUGGCUCGCUUUCGUCUGUCAAAGUACGAGACAAGAGAGGUGUGUAAAGCGGUUAGAGGAGACCUUCAGCGAGCAAUGGCGACAAACAACCCUCACAGUGGAGCAGAGUGCCCUAAUGCGGUGCAAUUGAUGGCACUGAAGUGGCGAUAAUUCCACCCAGCCAUGCAGGCCCACGGUUUGUGGAUGCAAACUACUACUGCCAUAAAGGCUAUCACGCUAUCAAUGUGCUGGCACUUAUGUACAGUGAACAGCUGUGACGGCAACAUGACAUUCCCGCAAGUUUCAUCACUAUGGCUGUAUAUACAAUGCCGUGCAUCGCUUUUGAACGGGUUUGUGAUGCUGGGCGUAAGAUACUGUACCUAA